ACACAGUGCAGUAAUAAUCAAAAUUAGUGCGUGCUAGGAUGAAUAAUCUUGAAUAAAGUACUUAUGAUUUAUGAGUGGCAAUGUAUUUUAUCACGCGCGCGUGUGCGUCGCUCUAUUAUUUUAAUGUCACGUUUAUUCCGACUAACCUGAUCCGUGAUAUUUCGAGAGACAUGGUUCUGGCGAAAAAAAAAGUUAACCGCUGAAAAUGUCACGUGAAAGCGCAGUUGCAAUCGCACCUACUCGUUUUAAGCGAUAUAGAAAUUAUUUUGUGUAUAUGCACACAGAUGCGUGCUACGCGUACUCAAAAGAGCAGAUAAUAUACGAUAGAUACGAUAAUAAUAUGUACUUCCGUUUUUAUGGAAAGGAGAUAGGGAGUAAGAGUAAGAAACACGUUGCUCUUUGCACGAGCGCCUCUUUAGCAUCUUAUCUAUAUUUAUCAUCAGAACCGAUGUAUUCUAACAAUAGUGACAGCGAUAUUGCAAAAUCAAAGCUCGUGACUGAUCCGAAACGAUGGAAUUUCAAGCAAUAACCAAGAUCUUAUUAAAUUCGACAUAAUUCAUUAAGCUCUCGGAUCUCGGAUAGUGCGAAAAAGCAACAUUACAAAUUGGACGCAGUGCUUGCGUAUUGUUCGCGCGAAAAGCGUUUGCGAUUAGAAGCACGAUCUUUGCACUCACGUGGAAGAAUGGCGCGUGAACGGACGUCGAAAACGGGGAUCCGGGCGGCGGAACGAACUAACGGGCAAACCGGCAACGAAACAACGGGAAACGAGCAUGCCUCGUCUUGCGGCACCGCGCGUGUCCUCCGACUUCCCGCCCUAAGCGCCGCCAAUUUUUCGUCGACCUAUUUCGAGAUGUCCAUCUACUUGCGAUUCUCGAUGCGCUCACGCGUCGGAUUUCGCUUCAGUCUGCAGUCUAUUGUGUUUUCAGCAUUUUAAAACGGAAUAAGUCUUUCGCGAGAUUGCGUUAUCACAUGACCGAUAUUCAUGGAAAUUAUUCGUCAGUGUGAAUUCGUCAUCGAGGAUAAUUCGUAAUGCGAGAGAUGAAUCAGUUAUUCGAUGAUUAUAUGAUAGUCGCGUAUGUUAAGCGAGAAGAAAGUAAUUGUGUGUAGCUCGCGAUUAGACUAAAAACGUUAGUCUACGCCGAAACCUAUCAAAGUAGAACAUUCGAUACGAAGAAACUUGGAGAUUUUAUACAAUUUUAUAUUUAAUUGGGAUGACGAAUAUAA